rnacentral:lncRNA from 1 species
AUGAUGGACAGCCAAGGAAUGACAGACAGCCUGGGAAUGAGAGACAGGCAGGGAACGAGAGACAGGCAGGGAAUGACAGACAGCCAGGGAACGACAGACAGCCAGGACAGCCCGGGGCAGCGGUGGAGCUGCUGGCAGAGGCUGACACCACCCUCUGCUGGGCACCCAGCGCGCAGCUCUCGGCCCUCGUGGCCCGUCCUCGUGUUGCUUUCUCAAGUGAGGGGCCUGAGAGAUGAGCGCUGGAAAAAUACUAAAACAGAACUAGUAACAGAAGGGGCUUCAUGGCUUUUCAUCCCCGGGGUCUCAGUAACUCGGUGCCGGCAGGANNNNNNNNNNGGAGGACGGGGUGGGUUUUGUGCUCCCCUCUCCUGCCCCUUGGCACUGCUGGGAAUGACAGGGAAUGAUGGACAGCCAAGGAAUGACAGACAGCCUGGGAAUGAGAGACAGGCAGGGAACGAGAGACAGCCAGGGAAUGACAGGCAGCCAGGGAACGACAGCCAGGACAGCCCGGGGCAGCGGCGGAGCUGCUGGCAGAGGCUGACACCACCCUCUGCUGGGCACCCAGCGCGCAGCUCUCGGCCCUCGUGGCCCAUCCUCGUGUUGCUUUCUCAAGUGAGGGGCCUGAGAGAUGAGCGCUGGAAAAAUACUAAAACAGAACUAGUAACAGAAGGGGCUUCAUGGCUUUUCAUCCCCGGGGUCUCAGUAACUCGGUGCCGGCAGGAGCCCCCAGCUGGAGCAUGCAGAGAAGCUGCCACCUCGCUGCCUCUUAGGAGCAUCCAUCUGAAAACCUCCCUUAAAUACCAGGGCUGUGCCUCCACAAAAUCCCCAUUUCCAAGUGUCCGUGGAUUGCCAUUGCCACCUUCUGGAUCAGGCUGCGUGUGCACCAGCCUGUCCCACAGGACACCCAUCCCCAGCUGGGGCCUGGCUGCCUGGGCAGGAGCUGUCAGCAGUCACCGUGCAGCCUGGUACCACUUGUAUCACACCCUGAGACCCUGCGGGUUCCCUUCUCCAGCUAUUUUAGGAAAGCUGCAGGAGGCACAGCUCGGCCAGCAGUGCUCAGCAGUGGCUCUUGCUCGAUCCUCGUGGAGACCCGAGGCUGCUGUGGAGCUCCUGAACCCCUGCACACCCAGAGCAGCCGAUGGGGGUUGAAGCCCCUCGGAGCGGUGCUGUCGGGAGGUGAUGGGUGGCCCAGGAGGGGUGCGGAGACGUGGAGGCAGCGUCUUGGGUUGUGUUGGGCGCUAUCCAUCAAGAAGGGACUGGGGGAGCGCCGGGCUGGCGUCGGCGUGAGGUCACGCAGGGGUGCUGAGGUCACCGACGGGCGCUGAGGUCACGCACGAGGUCACGCACAAGCCUGGAUGCUGCUGGGGGCCCCUUAGGUGUGCCCUACAAUUCGGGGCUCCAUCCUUUGGAGAGGUGACCCUCAGCUGGAGCCGCUCGCCCCAUCACUCCCAGCUUCGUGCACCCGGCCCCUCUGCAAGAUGAAACGGGCACCAACACCACCGCUGGGUGAGCUUCUG